GAAGUAACGUUUUGGCGUUAUGUCAAUCAAUGAAGAAAACCCACUAAUCCCACGAUCUCCUCUUCAUGACAGUUUCCUUUGUUCUUCGAUAGCUCUGUUCACAGUAUAUAUAUAUUCUUUCGCCUUUGCCUCCCCCUUUUCUCUGCUCUUCAUCGAUUAUUUCUCAAUGAAACUCUCAGACAAGCUCUCCAUAAUAGCAAUUUCCAAGCUCUACUGGCACCUUGAAGCUUCGGAAUGUGAAGAAAGGGGUCAGUUGAUGGCUAUGCUUCUCAUUCCUUCUCGCCCACGACGUAACACGCUUAGAGUAAUGAUAUUCAAUCAAGAUGGCUGGAGGAGAAAAAGCUCAGGAGUCAGGCCUCUGUUUCAAAUGAGCCCCAUGUUGGUGUCAUGAACACUGGAUGGGAUGCUUGGAGAGGAUUCACAAGCUCCCGAGGACAGGCCCUCCACAAAGAAAACGCAAAAAAGACAAAAGGAAUUAUCUACAUAUCCUUUUGCAGGAUGUUCUAAUAGCAUGGAUGUAUGUCCAUAUGAAGGGUGGAAGCAAGUUCGCAAAGUACAUCAGACUCGCCUACAACGUGUCCCCGUAUCUUGCUGUCUGGCCCAGCAGGCUCUGAGAUAUAUCAAGAAAUGUUGGUAAAAGUGCUUGCGGAAAAUUUUGAGGCCAAGUUGAUGAUCGUUGAUUCUCUUUUGUUGCCUGGGGUAAUUUUCUUUCUUUCCCCAUUAAUUUAUGCAUUGUGAUAUCAUUACAAUUUUGUUUUGGUUAUUUAAAAUAAUUUUCUGUCAUCUUGGCAAGUGAGUAUUAAGCUUAGAUGCUAUAUUUGUCACAAUGCCUACACUUGCACUAUUUCCGUCAGGGAUCACCAGCCAGGGAAGCUGAAUCUUCUAAAGAAGGUUCUAGGCGUGAAAGCUCUCUAUGCUUGCAGCAUAAGAAACUAAUGAUGCUAAUAAAACAGGUGGAUCAACAUUGAGUUCUAAUGCUUUUGCCAAAGCAAGAAGUGCAACAGCAAACUUCUAGGAGUUGCACGUUUGAAGCAGGAUGGUUUUUGUCAUCUGAUUGGUGGUCACUUUCUCUGCUGUGCCAAUUUUCACGUGUUACUGAGCAAGCAUUUCCAUCAUUUUUUUAAGUGACCGAGUCAAGUUUCUAGGUCCUUCAUCAUCUGCAGUUUCGUCUCUUCAAGGCCCACCACAUAAGUAUGUUUGUUGCCAUUUUAUAAGUCUUCACAUCUCCACUUAGGCCCGAUGGCAAUGAUCUUACUGGCCUCCGGGAAGAGGUCCCUUGUCUCAUGUCACAACCCAUUCUUCAGUGUGAUUUAUACUAAGAAACAAAAACGCAGAACAUUCUGGAAACAAAACAACCCAUUCUGGAAGAGCAUUCCCUGAAGAAAGCACGUGUGGAAUGAAUGUUAGAACCUAAACAACCCCGACUUGUCCUUAUAAGUUAAUGUUUUAGCAUCUUUCAGCUUGCUUAAAUCUAUUUCCCUUUUUAGAAAAAAAAACUCAGUGUCGUGGUUGUUGUUAUUCCUCUUAUCAAUGCAAAUUUUUUUACUGAUAAACAACUGCUUGUCUUG